GAUGAACGCUGGCGGCGUGCCUAAUACAUGCAAGUCGAGCGAACGGACGAGAAGCUUGCUUCUCUGAUGUUAGCGGCGGACGGGUGAGUAACACGUGGAUAACCUACCUAUAAGACUGGGAUAACUUCGGGAAACCGGAGCUAAUACCGGAUAAUAUUUUGAACCGCAUGGUUCAAAAGUGAAAGACGGUCUUGCUGUCACUUAUAGAUGGAUCCGCGCUGCAUUAGCUAGUUGGUAAGGUAACGGCUUACCAAGGCAACGAUGCAUAGCCGACCUGAGAGGGUGAUCGGCCACACUGGAGCUGAGACACGGUCCAGACUCCUACGGGAGGCAGCAGUAGGGAAUCUUCCGCAAUGGGCGAAAGCCUGACGGAGCAACGCCGCGUGAGUGAUGAAGGUCUUCGGAUCGUAAAACUCUGUUUUUAGGGAAGAACAUAUGUGUAAGUAACUGUGCACAUCUUGACGGUACCUAAUCAGAAAGCCACGGCUAACUACGUG
rnacentral:rRNA from 1 species